rnacentral:rRNA from 1 species
GUUUGAUUAUGGCUCAGGAUGAACGCUAGCGGCAGGCUUAACACAUGCAAGUCGAGGGGCAUCGGGAGUAGCAAUACUGCCGGCGACCGGCGCAAGGGUGCGUAACGCGUGAGCAACAUGCCCGUAUCAGGGGGAUAAUCCAUGGAAACGUGGUCUAAUACCCCAUAGUAAUUAUGUAAGGCAUCUUAUAUAAUUUAAAGCUUUGGUGGAUACGGAUUGGCUCGCGUGACAUUAGCUGGAUGGUAAGGUAACGGCUUACCAUGGCUACGAUGUCUAGGGGUUCUGAGAGGAAGGUCCCCCACACUGGAACUGAGACACGGUCCAGACUCCUACGGGAGGCAGCAGUGAGGAAUAUUGGACAAUGGAUGGAAAUCUGAUCCAGCCAUGCCGCGUGCAGGAAGACGGCCCUAUGGGUUGUAAACUGCUUUUGUAUGGGAGCAAUAAGGGCUACGUGUAGUCCGAUGAGAGUACCAUACGAAUAAGCACCGGCUAACUCCGUGCCAGCCGCGGC